GGUUGGGCAUUUGCUUUCAAGGAUAAAUUCUUCAAGGGGUGAGAAGAA
rnacentral:ncRNA from 19 species